GCAGGUGCCGCCCGCAGGCUUCGGAGGGGAGACGCCGCGUGCCGACGAGAGGUCCGAGAGGUUGUGCGCCGGCUGCCUUUGGGCCUGGAUGCGCGUUUGAGGGGCCGCAGGGGAUGGCGUUCGUCCUCGUCCGGAAUGGGCACGGAGCAGCCGGGUGCACGUGAGAUGACAAAGAGGCAGCUGGUGACUGGAGGAGUGACGUGUGCUUGUCCUUCAGAAGGAAGGGAAGAGGGAGACUCUGGGCCCCUUGAAAGCUAAAUGCUGAGGGAGGAGUCGUGCAGGGCGACGGAGGAGGGCCGAGGAUAGCGCUGUAAGCAGGUG